rnacentral:rRNA from 1 species
GGAAUAUUGCACAAUGGGCGCAAGCCUGAUGCAGCCAUGCCGCGUGUGUGAAGAAGGCCUUCGGGUUGUAAAGCACUUUCAGCGAGGAGGAAGGCGGUGAGGUUAAUAACCUCAUCGAUUGACGUUACUCGCAGAAGAAGCACCGGCUAACUCCGUGCCAGCAGCCGCGGUAAUACGGAGGGUGCAAGCGUUAAUCGGAAUUACUGGGCGUAAAGCGCACGCAGGCGGUAUGUCAAGUCGGAUGUGAAAUCCCCGGGCACAACCUGAGAACUGCAUUCGAAACUGGCAGGCUAGAGUCUUGUAGAGGGGGGUAGAAUUCAAGGUGUAGCGGUGAAAUGUGUAGAGAUCUGGAGGAAUACCGGUGGCGAAGGCGGCCCCCUGGACAAAGACUGACGCUCAGGUGCGAAAGCGUAGGGAGC